GAUGAACGCUAGCGGCAGGCCUAACACAUGCAAGUCGAGGGGCAGCACGUCUUCGGAUGGUGGCGACCGGCACACGGGUGCGUAACGCGUAUGCAACCUACCUCUUACAGUGGGAUAGCCCAGAGAAAUUUGGAUUAAUACCGCAUAGUAUACAGAUUCAGCAUUGGGACUGUAUUAAACAUUUANGGGUAAGAGAUGGGGCAUGCGUUCUAUUAGUUAGUUGGAGUGGUAACGGCACCCCAAGACAGCGAUAGAUAGGGGCCCUGAGAGGGGGAUCCCCCGACACUGGUACUGAGACACGGGACCAGACUCCUACGGGAGGCAGCAGUGAGGAAUAUUGGACAAUGGGCGAGAGCCUGAUCCAGCCAUGCCGCGUGCAGGAAGACGGCCCU
rnacentral:rRNA from 1 species